rnacentral:rRNA from 1 species
GACGAACGCUGGCGGCGUGCCUAAUACAUGCAAGUUGAGCGCUGAAGGUUGGUACUUGUACCAACUGGAUGAGCAGCGCACGGGUGAGUAACGCGUGGGGAAUCUGCCUUUGAGCGGGGGACAACAUUUGGAAACGAAUGCUAACACCGCAUAAAAACUUUAAACACAAGUUUUAAGUUUGAAAGAUGCAAUUGCAUCACUCAAAGAUGAUCCCGCGUUGUAUUAGCUAGUUGGUGAGGUAAAGGCUCACCAAGGCGAUGAUACAUAGCCGAACUGAGAGGGUGAGCGGCCACAUUGGGAGUGAGACACGGCCCAAACGCCUACGGGAAGGAGCAGUAGGGCAUCUUCGGCAAUGGACGAAAGUCUGAGCGCGCAACGCCGCGGGAGGGAAGAAGGUUUUCGGAUCGUAAAACUCUGUUGGUAGAGAAGAACGUUGGUGAGAGUGGAAAGCUCAUCAAGUGACGGUAACUACUCAGAAAGGGACGGCUAACUUCGUG